rnacentral:rRNA from 1 species
AUUGAACGCUGGCGGAAUGCUUUACACAUGCAAGUCGAACGGUAGAGGGGGCAACCCCUUGAGAGUGGCGAACGGGUGAGUAAUAUAUCGGAACGUGCCCAGUCGUGGGGAUAACGUAGCGAAAGUUACGCUAAUACCGCAUACGAUCUACGGAUGAAAGCGGGGGACUCGCAAGAGCCUCGCGCGAUUGGAGCGGCCGAUAUCAGAUUAGGUAGUUGGUGGGGUAAAGGCUCACCAAGCCAACGAUCUGUAGCUGGUCUGAGAGGACGACCAGCCACACUGGAACUGAGACACGGUCCAGACUCCUACGGGAGGCAGCAGUGGGGAAUUUUGGACAAUGGACGCAAGUCUGAUCCAGCCAUUCCGCGUGCAGGAUGAAGGCCCUCGGGUUGUAAACUGCUUUUGUACGGAACGAAAAGGUUUCUAUUAAUACUAGGAGCUCAUGACGGUACCGUAAGAAUAAGCACCGGCUAACUACGUGCCAGCAGCCGCGGUAAAGUGACUAC